ensembl:lncRNA
CCCUCGUCUGGGGCUCUCCUCAGCUCGUUCCAGGAGCGUGGCACGGUUGCCCCUUUGGUGGUCCUUCUUGGAUCCUCGUACUCUGGGCCCUCUGGAUGUCUGGGGCCUGGAUCUUCUCCAUACCCGCUUCAUGCCCUGGGGGACGGGGCCAUGGCUCCCCACACUCCCUAGCAGAUCGUUACAUGGAGAAACCUUUUGAACACAAGCGUGCUGAUCCACAAAGGUGUGCACACAGGUGUACACACAGGUGUUCACAGACACAAACUACACCUUUCUUGGCUGCUGCCUCAAAGCACAUAUAUUUAGUAUUUAUUAUUGCUGCACAAUAACAUAAAAUAUUUUGUAGUACUGUUAGCUAGUUUAUUGUGAUGGUGUUGUAUUUAUUAUGUUGUUCUUUUUUGUUUGUUUUCUCUUCUGGUUUUUCUUCUUCUCUCGACAGGUGAUCCAGGUGUUUUUUUCUUUUUUGUUUGCUUGUUUGUUUGCUUUUCUUUUUUUUCUCUUCUCUCCUUUCUCACUGUCGCUUCUCCCCUCUAUUUUGUCUUUCUCUCCCUCUCUUUCUUUCAUUCUUUCCUUCUCCCUGUCCUAUCCCCCAGUCAUAUCUGUCCCAUCUGUAACAACUGAAAAUAAAAUAAAAUAAAUACAUAAUAAUAAAAAAAGAUAGCAACUUGUAAAAUGCAAAAAAAGAAAGUGCAAGCUCUUACUUGAAUUUUUUUGUUUAAUAGUCUUUUUUUUCUUUAAAUUGUGUAGUUUUACUACAAUAAAUGUGUACUCUGUACUGAAAUAUGUGUACACUAAAAUACUGAAAAAUGUGCAAAGUUCAUGGUUGAUAUUGCUAUCUUUGCAGCUAUAAUAGUUCUUCUACAACUGAUAUUAAUCAAGCUGUUACUCUAUUGGGGAUUUAGUCUCACCAGCCAUGCACUACUAAGAAAUCCAGAGUACAGCUUCCUUCAGAUCAAUUGAUCUUGGUAGGUAGAAACUAUUUGUGGAAGCACUGCUUCCCAUAGACGUUGGUUUUAGCUACAGAAUUCUAAUUAACAUAGCUCAAUAUUGAGUGUUACCUUAG